ensembl:lncRNA
GUUUCAAAGGUCAUCUCUCCCCCGCUCCGCCCCGUUCCUCAUUCCCGACCGCCGCCGUUGGGCGGAGAGGAGGCUGAGGGUGGGGACGCGGACCCCGCCUCGCCGGGGGGUCCUGGGGACCUGAGCAGCUUUAGGACUCGAUGAAUGCCCAAACCCAGAUCCAGAAACUGCGGUUUUCCUCUGAGAUCGCUGAAGGACCUGAGGAGAAGGAUUUCGGUGUCUUUAGGGUGGAUUUGGAGCCCGGACCUCACCAGGAACUGCAGAACAGGUAAAGCUGCCCCCCAUCUCCAGGCACCUCUGGGCUUCGGGGGUUCCCACAAAGUGCCAUUACUUCAAGGAGAGGUUUGUUUGCAAGCGACUCAGACGAGAGCACUUCAGUGUCUCACCUGUGCCUUAUUUUGCUUUCAUUUCCUCCCCCAUACCCCAUAAUGUUAUCCUGGAGAAGCCUAUAGGGUUCAGAUCCUUGAGAUCCUGGAGAUGAAGGGAGGGGAGAGACCCCAAACUUUCCCCGUUGAAUCAUUCACACCAUCACGAAACCUUACAAGAAAUGAAACAAUGCAUUUCCCAGCAACAUUUCCCAACCUGAUGUAUAUCCUUUCACCUCUUAAUUUCGAGGCAAUCUCUCCAUCUUCUCGUCGUCCAGCAAAGAGAAUCCAUUUUCUUUCCCUAAUUCAAGCAGUCAGGAUGUAAAAAGCAAAAAAGCAGAUUACAGCAUAAUCAAUAAUAAUAAUAAAAGACAACAGCUGCAUGAUUAAAAUUAAAAUGAUCUUUCCUUGCUCCCCAAAUCCAGCUCACCCAGAAGCAUUUCUCAGUGCCUCCCUGCUUGGUGUCAGUGCAAUGUUUGGAGCUGUCUACUUACCAUGAUUCCCACUCAAAACAUUCCUCAUUUUCACAGCUGAUAACUUUUUGUAUUCUUAGAAGCCCGGACGUUGAAAUACUCAGACCCAAAACCCCCCAAGGAGCUGCAGUUCUGCUCUGCUGAGCUCCAAGCACACAGCUAUACCCACCUCAGCUCCCCAUCUCCUCCGGUUCCACCUCACCUCUCUUUGGGGAACCUCUCCUGGGGCAUUUUGGUGCUCUCCAGCUGUGCUCUUCCUUCUCGUUUUAGUUAAUCCCCAUCAGUGUUCGUUGAUGCUUAGCAAUGCAGCCAGGGGUAGCUUUUAUUUCCGAAGCACAGCACGGGAAAAACAGUGUCCCAAAUCCAGAGUGAUUCACUGCCACAGAAGAAAGUUCCUCAAAACACAUUCUCAUUCAUUGCUUUCAACAAAUUUCCUCCCAACAUUUCCCAGACCCAUUUCUACACAGCAAAAGAGGCAGAGAAUGUACACUUGCACUUACCACCAGGGACUUGAUUUAGCCACUCAUUUUCUUCCCAUUUCCAGGAUAUCACGGAUUUUCCAGUACCUGUGCCCAAAUCAUUUUGUGUUCACCAUCUGGACAGGCAGACCCGGCUUCUCCCUCCUUGUGUAGUGGGUACACCACACCAGGCAGAGCACUCGUCUGGCAGAUGGCUGCCAAUUAAUUGUGCUUUCCCCACCGUCAUUAUGUACAACUUCUGCUGCUGACAAGUCACGUACGGUGAGGCACCAGGCAGUGCAGGCUCCUUGCAUGGAUGCCAGAGCCAAUAAAUGCUUCUUGGUCCUCGGUGGUUGUCAGCAAUGUCACCACCCGUGUGACUUGAUGUAAUAACAUAUUGCUGCAUCCAGGUCCCAGCAAUUACUGUGCCAGCGGUGGCUUCAUCGUUUCCAUUCAUUGUUAGAUGUGUCAGAAGCACUACGGAUUGUUGCUUAAGAAAUUAAGAAGCAAACACUUUAUCCUCCUGACUGUAAUAAUCUCAUCUUCUGAGGUUUUGUUUUGCUGUUUGUAGGUGACACCUUUUCCUCGUGCAAUAACAUUUGGUAUCCAGAUAGAGGAUUUUUAUCCUGAACGGGUCUC